rnacentral:rRNA from 1 species
CCCUUAGAUGUUCUGGGCCGCACGCGCGCUACACUGAUAAUGUCAACAAGCUUUACCUUGGCCGAUAGGUCUGGGCAAUCUUCGAACUAUUAUCGUGAUGGGGCUAGAUUAUAGCAACUAUUAAUCUUAAACGAGGAAUUCCUAGUAAGCGCGAGUCAUCAGCUCGCGUUGAUUACGUCCCUGCCCUUUGUACACACCGCCCGUCGCUCCUACCGAUUGGAUUGGCUGGUGAAGCGUUCGGAUUGUGGGUUCGGAGCGGUUCGCCGUUCUGGGCUUGCGAGAAGUUCGUUAAACCCUCCUAUCUAGAGGAAGGAGAAGUCGUAACA